rnacentral:rRNA from 1 species
GAUGAACGCUAGCGGCAGGCUUAAUACAUGCAAGUCGAGGGGCAGCACGUUUCGCAGCAAUGCGGGAUGGUGGCGACCGGCAAACGGGUGAGGAUCGCGUACACAAUCUUCCCAGAGCAGGGGGAUAACCCGGGGAAACCCGGACUAAUACCCCGUAGUUUACUUUGAAGGCAUCUUUGAGGUAAUAAAACUCCGGUGGCUUUGGAUGAGUGUGCGUCCCAUUCGGUAGUUGGCAGGGUAACGGCCUACUAAGCCUUCGAUGGGUAACUGGUGUGUGAGCACGACAGGUCAAACGGGAACUGGGACACGGGCACGGCGCCUACGGCAGGCAGCAGUAAGGAAUAUUGGGCAAUGGAGGCAAGUAUGAACCAGCCAUGCCGCGUGAAGGAUGAAGGUCCUCUGGAAUGUAAGCUUCUUUUAUAGGGGGAGAAAAAAGGGUUCUUUAACUAACUUGACGGUACCUUAUGAAUAAGCACCGGCUAACUCCGUG